CAGCCGUAAACUAUGCGCGUUAGGUGUACUGGUGACCACGAGUCACCGGGGUGCCGAAGGGAAACCGUGAAACGUGCCGCCUGGGAAGUACGGUCGCAAGGCUGAAACUUAAAGGAAUUGGCGGGGGAGCACCCACAACGGGUGGAGCCUGCGGUUUAAUUGGACUCAACGCCGGAAAUCUCACCGGAUAGGACAGACAUAUGAUAGUCGGGCUGAAGACUCUACUGGAUGAUCUGAGAGGUGGUGCAUGGCGUCAGUGACU
rnacentral:rRNA from 1 species